CUUGUGUGGCAGGGGAGGGGAGGGACACUGGAGUCAAGGCCUUCAUGGACUGCAGGGCUGGUCGAGUGGAUGCAGGCACUCUGAGGCCGAGUCAUUCAGUGACUGAUAUCAGGACGGACCAAGUUGGAAGAAUCCAAAUCAAGAGUUACUCCAGCAGCUGCAAAUGCCAGAAGGUUUAUUACUCCGGCUUAGCUAUGGGUCAGGACUUGAACUCCAGUACAUCUCGUCUGAUCUCUGUUUGAUCCCUAAAUAUAUUGGUUGCCCAGCUGAGGAAGGCCAGAGUGUUUCUUGCUGGAGAGUUGCGGUGUCUUCAGCAAGUGAAAGAAAGAAAUGAGAAAUAAGCUAAAGCAGGGAGGGUCACGCAAUGCAAUCUUUCCAUAAAUUUGACAGAUGGAAUAACAAAGGCCAAUGUGGUGAUGAUGCUGAGUUUCUUCUGACUUUACAAAGAUGGGGAAAAAUCAUUCAAGAAUGGAAAGAUCCAGUGCCUGAUCUCAGUAGAUCCUGCAGAUGCGCAGCUUAUCAGGUUCCUCUAGUUGUGGCAUGUGGGACGCUGCCUCAGCGUGGUCUGACGAGCAGUGCCAUGUCCGCGCCCAGGAUUCGAACCGACGAAACACUGGGCCGCCUGCAGCGGAGCGCGCGAACUUAACCACUCGGCCACGGGGCCAGCCCCCAUAUCUGUUUCUUGGAAGCAAAAUUGAUUAAAAAAAUCACAGCUUUGGCCAUAAUUUAUUUAUUUAAAUAUUCAAAUUAAGUGAGAGGCUCUUUGUGUCAUUUUUGGUGUUGACAUUUAGAGUGUUAACUCUGAUUUUGCUAAUACAGUAGUCCCUGCUUAUCUGUGGUUUUAGUUAUCCAUGGUCACAGUGGUCCAAGAAUGUUAAAAGGGAAACCCCAGAAAUAGACGAUUCAUAAGUUUUAACUUGUGGCCAUUCUGAGUAGUGUGAUGAAAUCUUGUGCUGUCCUGCUCCGUCCCGCCCAGGAUGUGAAUCAUCUCUUUGUCCAGCAUAUCCAUGCUGUAUAUGUUACCCACCAGUUAGUCACUUAGUAGCCCUACCAACUAUCACGGUAUCACAGUGCUUGUGUUCAAGUAACCCUUAUUUUACUUAAUGAUGGCCCCAAAGUGACAAAAUGACAACUCUUACUGUGCUUAAUUUAUAAAUUAAACUUUAUCAUAGAUAUGUAUGUAUAGGAAAAGACAUCGUAUAUACCGGGUUCAGUACUAUCCUCAGUUUCAGGCAUCUGCUGGGGCAUUGGAAUCUAUCCCCUGUGGAUAAGGGGGCCUACUGUCUGUUCAUUCAGAUUACUGUGGCAUCAUAAAGUCCCAAUAGCUGAGAAAUCUUAUCAAGUAAUAUUCUUGUAAUUAACAGUCAAACAAAGAUUAUCUCAUGACUCAUGGACAUCUUCUUUUUCAACAGUUGCAAACCUGCCUCCACAUAAGCAUUAUCUGGGGAAUUUUAAGAAAUACUAUUCAUGCAGUCUGCUCUAACCCAAUUAAGUUAAAAUCCCUGGGGAUGGGGCCUGAACAGUAGUAUUAUUUGAAAGCUCCCCAGGUAUUUUAAAUGUGCAACCCCAGCUGAGAAGCAUGCU
rnacentral:lncRNA from 1 species